AUGAGUACGUUUUCUGACAAUAAAAAGCCACAUGCUGUGUUGAUUCCAUACCCAUCUCAAGGCCAUAUCAGUCCAUUGUUCAAACUAGCAAAACUUCUUCACUUUAGAGGCUUUCACAUAACCUUUAUCAACACUGAAUACAACCACAAACGCUUGCUCAAAUCAAGAGGUCCAAAAGCCUUUGAUGGUUUGAUAGACUUCACCUUUUAG